UACGGAGGGUGCAAGCGUUAUCCGGAUUCACUGGGUUUAAAGGGUGCGUAGGUGGGUCUGUAAGUCAGUGGUGAAAUCUCCAAGCUUAACUUGGAAACUGCCGUUGAUACUAUAAAUCUUGAAUGCUGUGGAGGUGAGCGGAAUAUGUCAUGUAGCGGUGAAAUGCUUAGAUAUGACAUAGAACACCAAUUGCGAAGGCAGCUCACUACCCAGAUAUUGACACUGAGGCACGAAAGCGUGGGGAUCAAACAGG
rnacentral:rRNA from 1 species